GGCCUACUGAACUGCUUAUUGCACCACAUGUGUUUUUUAUUGAACAAAUUUCUUUGGUGGCGGGAGCAAUCCUACCGCCAGAGGUUAUAACUAAACCAAACUUUUUAUUUACAGUCAAACUUGAUUUAUUAUUACAAUAGUCAAAACUUUCAACAACGGAUCUCUUGGUUCUCGCAUCGAUGAAGAACGCAGCGAAAUGCGAUACGUAAUAUGAAUUGCAGAUAUUCGUGAAUCAUCGAAUCUUUGAACGCACAUUGCGCCCUUUGGUAUUCCAAAGGGCAUGCCUGUUUGAGCGUCAUUUCUCCCUCAAACCCCCGGGUUUGGUGUUGAGCAAUACGCUAGGUUUGUUUGAAAGAAUUUAACGUGGAAACUUAUUUUAAGCGACUUAGGUUUAUCCAAAAACGCUUAUUUUGCUAGUGGCCACCACAAUUUAUUUCAUAACUUUGACCUCAAAUCAGGUAGGACUACCCGCUGAACUUAAGCAUAUCAAUAAUCGGAGGA
rnacentral:rRNA from 1 species